GAUGAACGCUGGCGGCGUGCCUAAUACAUGCAAGUCGAGCGAACAGAUAAGGAGCUUGCUCCUUUGACGUUAGCGGCGGACGGGUGAGUAACACGUGGAUAACCUACCUAUAAGACUGGGAUAACUUCGGGAAACCGGAGCUAAUACCGGAUAACAUAUUGAACCGCAUGGUUCAAUAGUGAAAGGCGGCUUUGCUGUCACUUAUAGAUGGAUCCGCGCCGUAUUAGCUAGUUGGUAAGGUAACGGCUUACCAAGGCAACGAUACGUAGCCGACCUGAGAGGGUGAUCGGCCACACUAGAACUGAGACACGGUCCAGACUCCUACGGGAGGCAGCAGUAGGGAAUCUUCCGCAAUGGGCGAAAGCCUGACGGAGCAACGCCGCGUGAGUGAUGAAGGUCUUCGGAUCGUAAAACUCUGUUAUCAGGGAAGAACAAAUGUGUAAGUAACUGUGCACAUCUUGACGGUACCUGAUCAGAAAGCCACGGCUAACUACGUG
rnacentral:rRNA from 1 species